GGGUGGGGAGAGGCGCUGGCCACCCAUGUGCCUCGAGGAGCUCACAGCUAAUGUCCUUAGAAAUGGAGACACUUAGGCAAGACGUGAGCACAGAUGAAUGCCUUAGGAAGAUGAAGACAUGGGCUGGGUGACCCGACAAACCAAGACACCCCCAGAAACUAGGGGGAGAACCUAGAACAGGCUCCUUUUCCUAGCCCUCAGGAGGUGUCAGCCCAGCUGGCACCUGAUCUGGGAUUUUAUCUUUCAGAAUAGUGAGGCAAUGGCAUUGUUGUUAUCCAGUUUGUGACACUUUGCUGUGACAGCCGAGAGGACCAUAGAAGUCAGAGCUCAAACCAUUGCUUUGGAGAAGAAUAAACUGGGAUCCAGAGGCUAACAUGACGUUGCCCAAGACCUCUCUCCUCCAUUCAAGAAAUCAGCAGGCCGAGGAAGCAAGAUGGGUCCAUGGAUAAAGGUGCUUGCUGCCAAGCUCAAGGACCCGAGUUCAAUCCCCAGAGUCCUCACAAUGGAAAGGAGAGGAACCACUCCCGCUUGCUGUCCUCUGAUCUCCAAACAUACACCAUGUUGAACCGUCAGAGGCUGGCACUGGGAAAUGUCUUCUGUUUCCACUAGAACCAUGGCUAACAGCAAGGAUGGACCACUAGGAGCCAGAGAGUCACUACAGAGUACAUGUCCUUACUUGGCUCCUUCAUCCACCCAAUAGCACCUCCCUGGAGCACAGAAGGCAUUGCUGGUUUUUGCACCAGGUCCCUGCAUCCUGGCUCUGAAAAGCCACUGCACGUCAUAUUUCUGGGCACCUACUAUGUGCUUUACAUACAUGUUCUCAUUUAUCACAGCCUCUUAGUGGCAUUCACGUUUUAUAGGGGGAGACAGGCUUACAGAGGCUGAGUUACUAAAGCCACCCAGCUUUAGAUUCCACAGGCUGUGUUUGAUACCAGAUUCUCUGACUUGGAAGCUUAGCCACUUUCCAUCCAAGGUACAGGCAGGCAUGUCAGUCAGUGAAUGUCUUAGGAGGCAAGUGCUGUCAGAGUACCCAGUGGUGGCGAGGUGACCAACCCACGUGGAGGUGACACCAGGCUGGAGAGGCAAAUGGGAAUGGAAUAUAUCCCCCACCCAGGAGGCAUGCUGUGGUCUGUGUAAAAACAAAACAAAACAAAACAAAACAAAA